rnacentral:misc_RNA from 1 species
UACGUAGGGUGCGAGCGUUAAUCGGAAUUACUGGGCGUAAAGCGCGCGUAGGCGGUCCUUUAAGUCUGAUGUGAAAUCCCCGGGCUCAACCUGGGAAUUGCAUUUGAGACUGGUAGGCUAGAGUGUGGUAGAGGUGAGUGGAAUUUCAGGUGUAGCGGAGAAAUGCGUAGAGAUCUGAAGGAACAUCAGUGGCGAAGGCGACUCACUGGGCCAUUACUGACGCUGAGGUGCGAAAGCGUGGGUAGCAAACAGG